rnacentral:piRNA from 1 species
UCUAUCCCGACACAUGAAUAGCCACGUAAA